rnacentral:ncRNA from 2 species
CACUAUCUUGUGGCCGUCGGUUCCGGUGGUGGCUAGCCUCCGGAUGAAAAGGGAAGCCGGUGACGCGUUCGCGCCACUCCGGCACUGCCCCGCAGCGGUAAUUGGGAACGACCCCGCCACCAGCACUGAGGCGCCAUGCCUUGGGAAGCGGCGGAUGUAGGUGGAGCAGGAGUGAGUGGGGAGAAGUGAGGAGUGAGGAGAAGCCGGACGGGGCUUCCGCUCACUCCUCUUCCCUCACUCCUCGCCCCAAGCCCAUGAGUCCGAAGACCUGCCGACAGCCGCGCGAUGCA